rnacentral:rRNA from 1 species
UACAGAGGUCUCAAGCGUUGUUCGGAUUCAUUGGGCGUAAAGCGUGCGCAGGCGGUGAUGUAAGACCGAUGUGAAAUCCCCGGGCUUAACCUGGGAACUGCAUUGGUGACUGCAUUGCUGGAGUAUGGCAGAGGGGGGUGGAAUUCCACGUGUAGCAGUGAAAUGCGUAGAGAUGUGGAGGAACACCGAUGGCGAAGGCAGCCCCCUGGGCCAAUACUGACGCUCAUGCACGAAAGCGUGGGGAGCAAACAGG